GAUGAACGCUGGCGGCGUGCCUAAUACAUGCAAGUCGAGCGAACGGACGAGAAGCUUGCUUCUCUGAUGUUAGCGGCGGACGGGUGAGUAACACGUGGAUAACCUACCUAUAAGACUGGGAUAACUUCGGGAAACCGUAGCUAAUACCGGAUAAUAUUUUGAACCGCAUGGUUCAAAAGUGAAAGACGGUCUUGCUGUCACUUAUAGAUGGAUCCGCGCUGCAUUAGCUAGUUGGUAAGGUAACGGCUUACCAAGGCAACGAUGCAUAGCCGACCUGAGAGGGUGCGCGCCCACACGGGAACGGAGACCGGGCCCAGCCCCCUACGGGAGGCAGCGUGAGGGAAUCUUCCGCAAGGGGCGAAGGCCUGACGGAGCAACGCCGCGUGAGUGAUGAAGGUUUUCGGAUCGUAAAACUUUUUUAUUGGGGAAAAACAUAUGUGUAAGUAACUGUGCACAUCUUGACGGUACCUAAUCAGAAAGCCACGGCUAACUACGUG
rnacentral:rRNA from 1 species